rnacentral:lncRNA from 1 species
GUAGCCUUUUCAGAUUGGCUUCUUUCACUUAGUGAUACGCGUUUAAGGUUCUUUCAUGUCACUUAAUGGCUUGAUAGUACAUUUCUUUUUAGCAAUGAAUAAUAUUCCAUUAUCUGUUCACCUACUGAAGGACAUCUUGGUUGCUUCCAAGUUUUGGCAAUUAUAAAUAAAGCUGCUAAAACAUCCAUGUGCAUGUUUGUGUGUGUGUGUGUACACAAGUUUUCAACUCAUUUGAAUAAAAGGAGUGCAACUGCUGGAUAAUAUGGUAAGAAUAUGUCUAAUUUUGUAAGAAACCACCAAAUUACUUUCCAAAGUGGCUGUACCAUUUUGCAUUCCCACUUGCAAUGAAUGAGAGUUCUAUUACUACACAUUCUCACCAGGUUUGGUGUUGUCAGCGUUUUGGGGUUUUGCCAUUAUAAUAGGUGUGGGGUGGUAUCUCAUUAUUUUAAUUUGCAAUUUCCUAAUGACAUAUGAGGUUGAACAUCUUUUUAUAUGCUUAUUGCCAUUUGUAUAUUUUCUUUUGAGGUGCCUCUUCAGGAUAUUUUUGCCAUGUUGGUCAGGCUGGUCUCGAACUCCUGACCUCAAAUGAUUUGCCUGCCUUGGCUUCCCAAAGUGCUGGAUUAUGGGCAUAAGCCACCAUGCUUUGUAUAUUUUCCAUAACAGUACUUUUUCAGAAAUGUCUUUUGCAAAUAUUUUUCUCCCAGUCUGUGGAUUGUCUUCUCAUUUUCUUGACAUUGUAUUUUACAGAGCAGGUUUUUAAUUUUAAUGAAGUCCAACUUAUCAAUUAUUUCUUUUGUGGAUCAGGCCUUUGGUGUUAUAUCUAAAAAGUAUUUGCCAUACCCAAGGUCAUCUAGAUUUGUUCCUAUGUUAUCUUCUAUGAGUUUUACAGUUUUGUAUUUUACAUUUAGGUCUAUGAUCCAUUUCAAGUUAAUUUUUGUGGAGGGUUUAAGGUUUGUGUCUAGAUUCUUUUUUUCUUUUUCUUUCUUUCUUUUUUUUUUUUGCAUGUGAUGCCCAGUUGUCCCAGCACCAUUUGUUGCACAGACUAUCUUUGCUCUAUUUGUAUUGCCUUUGCCCCUUUGUUAAUGAUCAGGUGGCUAUAUUUAUGUGAGUCUGUUUCUGGGCUCUUUAUUCUAGUCCAUAGAUGGAUUUGUCCGCUCUUUUGCCAGUACCACAGUGUCUUGAUUACUGUAGCUAUAUAGUAAGUCCUGAAGUUGAAUGGUGUUAGUCCUCUGAGUUUGUUCUCCUUUAAUAUUGUGAUGGCUACUCUGGGUAUCUUUGGUGGUGGUGAUGUUUGUUUUAAAUGUCUCCAUAUAAACUUCAGAAUCAGUUUGUCAAUAUAAGAAAUAACUUGCUGGAAUAUUGAUUGGGAUUGCAUUGAAUCUAUAGACCAAGUUAGGAAGAACCGAUAUCUUAACAAUAUUGAGUCUUCCUAACCAUGAACGUGGAACAUUAUUUAUUUAGUACUUCUUUGUUUUCUUUCAUCAGAGUUUCAUAGUUUUUAAAAAAUAUAUAAAUCUUGUACAUAUUUUGUUAGAUUUGUACUUAAGUAUUUCAUUCUGGAGGGAGCUGAUGUAAAUGAUACCGUAUUGUGUGUGUGUGUUUGUUUUGAGACAGGAUCUCAAUCUGUCACUGAGGCUGGAGCGCAGUGGUGUGAUCAUAGCUCACUGAAUCCUCAGCCUCCUGGGCUCAAGCAAUUCUCCCAUCUCAGCCUCCCCCGUAGCUGGAACUACAGGCAUAUGCCCCAUACCCAGCUAAUUUUUUUUGGUAGAGAUGGGGUCUCAUCAUGUUGCCCAGGCUGGUCUCAAACUCCUGGGCUCAAGCAAUCCUCCUGCCUUGGCCUCCCAAAGUGCUGGGAUUACAGGUGUGAUCCAC